rnacentral:rRNA from 2 species
GGUCAAGUGAAGAAGCGCAUACGGUGGAUGCCUUGGCAGUCAGAGGCGAUGAAAGACGUGGUAGCCUGCGAAAAGCUUCGGGGAGUCGGCAAACAGACUUUGAUCCGGAGAUGUCUGAAUGGGGGAACCCAGCCAUCAUAAGAUGGUUAUCUUGUACUGAAUACAUAGGUGCAAGAGGCGAACCAGGGGAACUGAAACAUCUAAGUACCCUGAGGAAAAGAAAUCAACCGAGAUUCCCUUAGUAGUGGCGAGCGAACGGGGACUAGCCCUUAAGUGGCUUUGAGAUUAGCGGAACGCUCUGGAAAGUGCGGCCAUAGUGGGUGAUAGCCCUGUACGCGAAAAUCUCUUAGUCAUGAAAUCGAGUAGGACGGAGCACGAGAAACUUUGUCUGAAUAUGGGGGGACCAUCCUCCAAGGCUAAAUACUACUGACUGACCGAUAGUGAACUAGUACCGUGAGGGAAAGGCGAAAAGAACCCCGGAGAGGGGAGUGAAAUAGAUCCUGAAACCGUAUGCGUACAAGCAGUGGGAGCAGACUUUGUUCUGUGACUGCGUACCUUUUGUAUAAUGGGUCAGCGACUUAUUUUCAGUGGCGAGCUUAACCGAAUAGGGGAGGCGUAGCGAAAGCGAGUCUUAAUAGGGCGUCUAGUCGCUGGGAAUAGACCCGAAACCGGGCGAUCUAUCCAUGGGCAGGUUGAAGGUUGGGUAACACUAACUGGAGGACCGAACCGACUACCGUUGAAAAGUUAGCGGAUGACCUGUGGAUCGGAGUGAAAGGCUAAUCAAGCUCGGAGAUAGCUGGUUCUCCUCGAAAGCUAUUUAGGUAGCGCCUCAUGUAUCACUGUAGGGGGUAGAGCACUGUUUCGGCUAGGGGGUCAUCCCGACUUACCAAACCGAUGCAAACUCCGAAUACCUACAAGUGCCGAGCAUGGGAGACACACGGCGGGUGCUAACGUCCGUCGUGAAAAGGGAAACAACCCAGACCGUCAGCUAAGGUCCCAAAGUUAUGGUUAAGUGGGAAACGAUGUGGGAAGGCUUAGACAGCUAGGAGGUUGGCUUAGAAGCAGCCACCCUUUAAAGAAAGCGUAAUAGCUCACUAGUCGAGUCGGCCUGCGCGGAAGAUGUAACGGGGCUCAAACCAUACACCGAAGCUACGGGUAUCACGUAAGUGAUGCGGUAGAGGAGCGUUCUGUAAGCCUGUGAAGGUGAGUUGAGAAGCUUGCUGGAGGUAUCAGAAGUGCGAAUGCUGACAUGAGUAACGACAAUGGGUGUGAAAAACACCCACGCCGAAAGACCAAGGUUUCCUGCGCAACGUUAAUCGACGCAGGGUUAGUCGGUCCCUAAGGCGAGGCUGAAAAGCGUAGUCGAUGGAAAACAGGUUAAUAUUCCUGUACUUCUGGUUAUUGCGAUGGAGGGACGGAGAAGGCUAGGCCAGCUUGGCGUUGGUUGUCCAAGUUUAAGGUGGUAGGCUGAGAUCUUAGGUAAAUCCGGGAUCUUAAGGCCGAGAGCUGAUGACGAGUGUUCUUUUAGAACACGAAGUGGUUGAUGCCAUGCUUCCAAGAAAAGCUUCUAAGCUUCAGGUAACCAGGAACCGUACCCCAAACCGACACAGGUGGUUGGGUAGAGAAUACCAAGGCGCUUGAGAGAACUCGGGUGAAGGAACUAGGCAAAAUGGCACCGUAACUUCGGGAGAAGGUGCGCCGGUGAGGGUGAAGGACUUGCUCCGUAAGCCCAUGCCGGUCGAAGAUACCAGGCCGCUGCGACUGUUUAUUAAAAACACAGCACUCUGCAAACACGAAAGUGGACGUAUAGGGUGUGACGCCUGCCCGGUGCCGGAAGGUUAAUUGAUGGGGUUAGCUAACGCGAAGCUCUUGAUCGAAGCCCCGGUAAACGGCGGCCGUAACUAUAACGGUCCUAAGGUAGCGAAAUUCCUUGUCGGGUAAGUUCCGACCUGCACGAAUGGCGUAACGAUGGCGGCGCUGUCUCCACCCGAGACUCAGUGAAAUUGAAAUCGCUGUGAAGAUGCAGUGUAUCCGCGGCUAGACGGAAAGACCCCGUGAACCUUUACUAUAGCUUUGCACUGGACUUUGAAUUUGCUUGUGUAGGAUAGGUGGGAGGCUUUGAAGCGUGGACGCCAGUCUGCGUGGAGCCAUCCUUGAAAUACCACCCUGGCAACUUUGAGGUUCUAACUCAGGUCCGUUAUCCGGAUCGAGGACAGUGUAUGGUGGGUAGUUUGACUGGGGCGGUCUCCUCCUAAAGAGUAACGGAGGAGUACGAAGGUGCGCUCAGACCGGUCGGAAAUCGGUCGUAGAGUAUAAAGGCAAAAGCGCGCUUGACUGCGAGACAGACACGUCGAGCAGGUACGAAAGUAGGUCUUAGUGAUCCGGUGGUUCUGUAUGGAAGGGCCAUCGCUCAACGGAUAAAAGGUACUCCGGGGAUAACAGGCUGAUACCGCCCAAGAGUUCAUAUCGACGGCGGUGUUUGGCACCUCGAUGUCGGCUCAUCACAUCCUGGGGCUGAAGCCGGUCCCAAGGGUAUGGCUGUUCGCCAUUUAAAGUGGUACGCGAGCUGGGUUUAGAACGUCGUGAGACAGUUCGGUCCCUAUCUGCCGUGGACGUUUGAGAUUUGAGAGGGGCUGCUCCUAGUACGAGAGGACCGGAGUGGACGAACCUCUGGUGUUCCGGUUGUCACGCCAGUGGCAUUGCCGGGUAGCUAUGUUCGGAAUAGAUAACCGCUGAAAGCAUCUAAGCGGGAAACUAGCCUCAAGAUGAGAUCUCACUGGAACCUUGAGUUCCCUGAAGGGCCGUCGAAGACUACGACGUUGAUAGGUUGGGUGUGUAAGCGCUGUGAGGCGUUGAGCUAACCAAUACUAAUUGCCCGUGAGGCUUGACCAU